GGGUUAGCCCUUGGCGUGCCACAGGGGACACGUGAGGCAGGGGUUAGCCCUUGGCGUGCCACAGGGGACACGUGAGGCAGGGGUUAGCCCUUGGCGUGCCACAGGGGACACGUGAGGCAGGGGUUAGCCCUUGGCGUGCCACAGGGGACACGUGAGGCAGGGGUUAGCCCUUGGCGUGCCACAGGGGACAUGAGGUAGGGUUAGCCCUUGACAUGCUGGGGCAGCACAGAGGACGUGAGGCAGGGUU